CUGGGGCAGCGGGCGGGGUGUGGCGCCGGGAUCGUGCUCUGCUCGGCUCAGAGCAGCCGUGUUGUGCAGAGGCAAGCGGCGGUCGUCUCAUGUCCUCCUCACCCGCCAGCCCCGCAGUGGUACAGCCGGGGAACCUCUCCUUCCCCGCACCCAGCAGGUCCCAGCGAGGGGCGGGAGCUGCGUGUGCCGCCGCUGCCCUCAGCGGUUCGGCCCGGAUCUAACACCCCAUCCCCGCGGUGCGAUCCAGCGGGAAACGUUUUUAAGAUUUUUGUUUGUUUGUUUGUUUUUCUGUCAGGUAAUUUUUUUUUUUUAAGAGGUAACAGCCGUGGGGCGAGAGAGUGGACAUUCCACGGUCGCACCAGCCGGCUGCGCUGCCACAAGGAGAAAUUGUUGAACUGUGCCCUGGGACUACCUGAAGCUAAACUAUGUGACUGAGAGAAUUGUCCAGGAAUUCCUUGAACUCUGACAGGUUUGGUGCUGUGACCACUUCCAGUGACUGAGCACCCUCUCAGUGAAGAUCCUUUUCCUAAUGUGGAAUCUGAACUUCCUUGGUGCAUCUUUAUACUUCUUCAACAUCAACCAUUCUAUUUAUGGA